rnacentral:rRNA from 1 species
AUUGAACGCUGGCGGCAUGCUUUACACAUGCAAGUCGAACGGUAACAGGCCGCAAGGUGCUGACGAGUGGCGAACGGGUGAGUAAUGCAUCGGAACGUGCCCAGUCGUGGGGGAUAACGCAGCGAAAGUUGCGCUAAUACCGCAUACGAUCUAUGGAUGAAAGCGGGGGACCGUAAGGCCUCGCGCGAUUGGAGCGGCCGAUGUCAGAUUAGGUAGUUGGUGGGGUAAAGGCUCACCAAGCCGACGAUCUGUAGCUGGUCUGAGAGGACGACCAGCCACACUGGGACUGAGACACGGCCCAGACUCCUAGGGGAGGCAGCAGUGGGGAAUUUUGGACAAUGGGCGCAAGCCUGAUCCAGCAAUGCCGCGUGCAGGAAGAGGGCCUUCGGGUUGUAAACUGCUUUUGUCAGGGAAGAAAUCCUCUGGGUUAAUACCUCGGGGGGAUGACGGUACCUGAAGAAUAAGCACCGGCUAACUACGUGCCAGCAGCCGCCGUAACAC